UACGUAGGGGGCGAGCGUUGUCCGAAGUUACUGGGCGUAAAGCGCGCGUAGGCGGGGGAUUAAGUGAGAGGUGAAAGGCUGGGGCUCAACCUCAUGCAGUGCCUCUCAUACUGGUUCUCUUGAGGGCGGUAGGGAGAAGUGGAAUUCCCGGUGUAGCGGUGGAAUGCGUAGAGAUCGGGAAGAACAUCUGUGGCGAAGGCGGCCAGCUGGGCUGUUGCUGACGCUGAUGCGCGACAGCGUGGGGAGCAAACAGG
rnacentral:rRNA from 1 species